rnacentral:rRNA from 1 species
AUACGGAGGAUGCGAGCGUUAUCCGGAUUUAUUGGGUUUAAAGGGUGCGUAGGCGGACGAUUAAGUCAGCUGUGAAAUGCCCGCGCUUAACGCGGGAAGUGCAGUUGAUACUGGUUGUCUGGAGUGCCGUUGCCGUGGGGGGAAUGUGUAGUGUAGCGGUGAAAUGCAUAGAUAUUACACAGAACGCCGAUUGUGAAGACACCUCACGAAGCGGUAACUGACGCGGAGGCACGAAAGCGUGGGGAUCGAACAGGAUUGGAUACCCGGGUAGUCCACGCAGUAAACGAUGAUGACUAACCGUCGGCGAUAGACCGCCGGUGACCAAGCGAAAGCGAUAAGUCAUCCACCUGGGGAGUACGACCGCAAGGUUGAAACUCAAAGGAAUUGACGGGG